AAUUGCUAGUAAUGGCAGGUCAGCAUACUGCCGUGAAUACGUUCCCGGGCCUUGUACACACCGCCCGUCACACCAUGAGAGUUGGGAAUACCCGAAGCCUGUGAGCUAACUGUAAGGAGGCAGCAGUCGAAGGUAGAAUCAAUGAUUGGGGUGAAGUCGUAACAAGGUAUC
rnacentral:rRNA from 1 species